rnacentral:lncRNA from 1 species
GUACGGUGGUCGUCGUCUCAAACGCGUGUUCGUCAGCUUUGCGGCGGCGCUGCAAGCCGUCGAUACGACGGGGAGGGGAAGGUAGGUACGGCCUGAGCGCGGAGGUGCUCCGGCGUGCCACGGCCGGAGUCGGACGCGGCGGCUGUCGCGACACCGGGGGUGGACGGUAUUUCCCUUGGGUGCCUGAGCCCCGUCCGUGCGGCUCGGAUCGGGUGG